rnacentral:rRNA from 1 species
UACGUAGGGAGCAAGCGUUGUUCGGAUUUACUGGGCGUAAAGGGCGCGUAGGCGGUCCUGCAAGUCACUUGUGAAAUCUCCGGGCUUAACUCGGAACGGCCAAGUGAAACUGCAAGACUAGAGUGCAGAAGGGGCAAUCGGAAUUCUUGGUGUAGCGGUGAAAUGCGUAGAUAUCAAGAGGAACACCUGAGGUGAAGACGGGUUGCUGGGCUGACACUGACGCUGAUGCGCGAAAGCCAGGGGAGCAAACGGG